rnacentral:rRNA from 1 species
AAUGAGGGAAACCUUGAUGCAGCCAUUCCGCGUGUGUGAAGAAGGCCCGAGGGUUGUAAAGCACUUUCAAUUGUGAGGAAAGGUUAGUCGCUAAUAUCGGCUAGCUGUGACGUUAACUUUAGAAGAAGCACCGGCUAACUCUGUGCCAGCAGCCGCGGUAAUACAGAGGGUGCAAGCGUUAUUCGGAAUUACUGGGCGUAAAGCGCGCGUAGGCGGACUGUUAAGUCGGUUGUGAAAUCCCUGGGCUCAACCUAGGAACUGCAUCCGAUACUGGCAAUCUAGAGUUUAGGAGAGGGAAGUGGAAUUCCUGGUGUAGCAGUGAAAUGCGUAGAUAUCAGGAGGAACAUCAGUGGCGAAGGCGACUUCCUGGCCUAAAACUGACGCUGAGGUGCGAAAGCGUGGGUAGCGAACGGGAUU